CAAGCGAGACAUUAGACUCAAAAGCAAUUGUGCCUCAUUGUAACUAUGUCAACACCCCCAAACAAACAAAAAACAAAAAAUAAAUGUACAGGGACUUGGGUGUCGAACUCUCAGAAAAUAGACUGUUUAUGAGAAGAGAAAUGCAGUCAGAAGUCCUCCUUCCAGAUCAGGCAAUGGAUACAAGAACUUCAGAGGUAACCAUGAUGCAGAAUAUGGACUAAGUAUCACUGAAAGAGGAGCCCUGAAGCACAGCCAAGUGGGAGGAGAAAGGUGAUUGACAGUUGGCUUGACCAGUGUGGACUGAGAGGUGAAAUUCCAUCCUCCAAUCCACUGGCCUCAUAGCAAAGAUUUGCCUAUUGGUGUGAACAGAACGCAAGGGCAGCAGAAUCGGUCACACUCUGAAAAGCCUGCAUGACAGAUACUUCCUUUCCUUCCAAUCACAGAUAUGCAGAAGCUGUUCUGAAAUCUUCUUCCGUGUAAGUAAUUAGAUUCUAUCACUGAGAACAAAAGUUACCACAAAAGUCCAACUCUGAAGCAUCAGCCACUUACUGUGUCACUAUACUGCAUUCAGCAGAAACAGCCUACCAAACCACAUUUCAUUCACAAAAAAAACCCAAAACCAAACCAAACCAAACCAAACCAAAACCAAAAAACAAAAAAACCACCACCCCCCCCAAAAAAACCCCCACUGUCUGGGUUUGAGGGGGAAGUGAACUUUUCAGGGAGUUGUGAGCAAACCAAUCAGUGGUCAGGUUUUAUGCUGGCACGUAGAGUAGCCAUUGAGAGGUUAGACAAGCCUCCGAGGACACAAGGGGUUAAAAGCGGAGACUGCCAGAGGGUCUGCCUCUUUUGGGUUCCGGUUUCAGCAGGGAAAUAUCUCCUCUCCCCUGCCCAGCUUUAUGCUGAGUGGGGGAGGGGAGCCACAUGGCCGGGCUGAGGGGAACCACGCGGCCAAACUGAAGUAAGCUGGGGCCCCGGGGCGGGGAAGAGAAUGGACAGAACUGGAGCUGAGCUGCCCCAUCCAGGAUGGAGGGGUGGAAAACUGUGGAGGUACCUUCAGUGUCUUCCCCCCCCACCCCAGCCAACCCCCAGGGAGAAGACGUCCAGCUGCCAGUGGGAGCUGCCCAAGCAGGGAGUGCCUGAGCCUGCAGCUCCCUGCUGGGAGCCAAGAACUGUUAACCCUUUCUGAGGCAGAAAGAAACUUUUCCCAGACAUUAACUCUCAUAGCUAGUGGCUUCAGAAGAGAGAGACAGCUUGAGACUGAGAUGAUAAAAGAAAGAUAAAAAGAAUCCCAGAUGGGCAGGUAUGAAGAAGAGUAGCUUUUUAAGCUAGACUUUUCUUGCAUAAUGUUAGCCAUAGACUGAACUUGAGACUCUUUUGAACAUAAACUGCAUUUUGGGGUGGAUGUAGCCGGCUCGACUUGCUGCAGUGGAGCGAACAGAGAAGAGAGGAAGAGAGUGUGGUGGUGCCCUCUGCCCUCAGAGAAGAAACCCUUGGCCCCAGGGGAAAAAUGGGGAGAGCCCAGCAUGCAAGCAUCCUUAAAAAGAGCCCUAUAUGCAGCUUUAGCCCAUGGACAGUGGUGAGAGCAAUGGACAUGGAAAAGAGAGUGUCACCACGGCAGCCAGGUGGUGCCACGGGUGACACAGAAACACAUAAAAGGUGGACCCGUGUUUUCUGAAGAGCAGUCUGUGGUGUGAGAAAGACUCCUCUCUCCCUUGCUGAAUUGAAGAUUAGUUUUUUGAGUGGUGAUUGUUUGAUUUAAAACCCAAGGUUUUGGUCCAUGGAGGGUAAUGUGUAA